rnacentral:lncRNA from 1 species
CAAAAGUGCAAAGAGAAGAUGAGAAUGAUUUGUAUGUGUAAUUUGAAAAAUCCAUUUUCUAAAAUAACAACACAAAUAUCUAAAGGUGCAAUACAAAUGUGUAACGUGAAAAAUCCGUUUACUCUAACACCUUAUGACACGUAAUAGAGCUCGACAUUGAUGGUUUGUUACUCUGUAACCAAGCUUAUAAAACGACCCCUUCAGCACAAAAGCAAAGUACACGCAAUGUAUACUAAAAACUAUCAUUUUUUGCACUCAUACUGAUUUGAAUGUCGAAAUAUUUACAUGUACCCCUAACUUAAAUUUUGACGGUUGUUAUUGUCGGACGCCAUCAUUAUGGUAAAAAAGGAUCAAGCAUAUUUUUCUUUUUUAAGUUAUAUGUUUCACUUUAGCUAUAUUAAAUUUGUUGUCAUACUCCUUUUUCUUCUCUUUCAUCUCCCACCGGCCACCAACCCUUUUAUCCCUCCAUGACAACCCUAAGACCUGGAGACUUCUUGUUUUUCCGCAUAAAGUACUAGUAGAAUUAAAAAGAUCCUUAUUUGGGUCGUUGAUUGAUUUAUGAGAUUUCUUUCUAAUCAAUGAGGCAAAAUAGCUUUAGAUAAUAUCCAAUCACCAUAAUUAUGAUUGUUAGUAGGCGCAAUAUGAUCCAUGCUAAAAAUCUGCUCAGAAGUUUCUACGAUACAUCCACAAAUUGAAUCAUUUUGGUAUAUUUAUUUAGGAAAUAAAAAAGAAGCAAAAUAGGGUGAUAAUUAUAUGCACAUGUAAAACUUAUUUAAUAUUAAAUUCUUUACAUAUAUGGAUUUGGCAUAAAAAAAAAAAAAAUUUAUAGGCUAGAAUGACUCACCAACAGUAAGCAUUGGUGAAACAUGAAUAUCAGCUAAAGCUUGAGAAGAGAGAAAAACAAAAAGAUUAAGACCAAGAAACAAAUAAGAUUUUGAGUAAACCAUGUCACUUCUUGAUGAUGAUAUUGCAAUGGUUGAUAAUAAAUAAUAAUGUAGUAAUUUGUAUGUGUGUGUGUGUAUAUAUAUAUAUAUGGAAAGAAGUUGCUCUGUUUAUAGGACCAAGAGUCAAGUUGAAGUUUAAAUUUAAAUUAAUGCAAAACAUGUGGCUAAAAAAUCUUCUGAAAGGAUGUGAAUAUUAAUUUAGAAAUAACAGUAUAAAAUGCAAUAUUUAUUUAUACACUCUUUUAUUUGAGUUCUUGAUUGGGUAAAGACCCAUUUUCCCUAUGGAAUCUUUUGCUUUAAAAUAACAAAUUAAGAUGAUUAGAGCUUAUUCGAGAUAUCAAUUAUCAUCAAACAAUAUUUCCAGUACUUGAUUAAAAUAAAGUUAUUUUCUUAUUUUAUUGAUAACUAAUGUGUAAUUUGUUAUUUUUCACAAAUGAUUGGGACUUUCGAGGGGAGAGCAAUGGAGGGUUUAUAAAAAAUGAAAGGAAGAAGUGGAAAGAAUGGAGAGCUAUAAGAGUGGAAGGCUUUGUGGGGUUUAGUUUUCUUCGUAAUACAAAAUUCCCCUAAUUUGGGGGAACUAAAAAUUUGUAUUGAAGGAGGGUUUUGGGGGAUUUGGAUAAGUUUUUCAAAUCUAAUCUAUGUUGUUAUAAUACUUUAAAGUUUAAAGUGAAAAAUACAUUAAUCAUAAGUAUUUAUUUACAAUUCUCUACAAAACUACUCACUCCAAAAAUUUAAAAGAUUUUUCUAUUUUUUCCUCUAAUCUCAUCCCUCAAAAACCAUUUUCUUCCCUUCCCCUUCAAACUUCCAAACAGAGUCUAAGAGCGGCAAAGCACAAGUCUUGGUAGUCACCUGCUUGUCUAUGUAUAAUUGUAUGGUGGGACGCCCACUUUAGCCGAACUUUGUGUCGUCUUGUCAGUCAUGCAUUUUAUUUGACUACGAAAUAAUUGUAUCAUGAUAUUUUAGAUAGCACAUAAUUAUAUUGUUUUUCAAUCAACCGUCCAACAUUUUUCUUUGUCCUCGGAUCAAUUUUUUAAAAUCAAGCAUUGUACAAUUCGAGUUAUGCAUUCGUAGUGUAUAGUUUAAGCUCUAAAUUUUUAAAAAAUUAAAUGCUCUUAUAAAAAAAAAUUACUUUAAAUAUUUUGGUUUAAUGAACUUACAGGCCUACUAAUCUUUUGUUUUCAAUCAAAAAAUAAUGUGAUUUCAAGUGGUGUAAAGGGCAACAUGAUGUUUUACUAUUACAUCAUAAAAUUCAAACAAAUACAUCAUAAAAUUCGUGUCUCUUCUUCAAAAUGGUUUUUGGUAAUUCGUCAAGACAUCCUUGUAUGCACCAUGGGUGGAGGGUGGAACUGUUCUUGUGUUAAGAUCAAUAACGGUGUGUGAGCAGGAUUAGGUGUAACACCCCGUUUUUCCCAACUUAAAAAUUUCAUAACAAUUAUCAGAGUAUUCAACAUAUAAACGGAAUGCUACACUUCUUAAAAUUCAUAAAUGGAAUAAAUAACAAUAUGUCCUUCAUAAUUCAAUCAACAAAAAUAUUAAAAACUUCGCAGCGGAUUUAAUUCAAAACAUAAUUAGUCUUGGCACGAAGGCCUCAUCAAAACAUCUCAUAAAAAUCCAAACUAAAUCAUAGUCAUGUAAAAUCAUAAGCAAUACGUAAGGAAUAGAAAAUAGCCACAAAAGUUCCCAUCUCGUUAUGUAUCAGAGCACCUAAAGACACAGUGAGAGAUAGCCACUCACGACAGCAAUCAACAGCUACUUAUUCUCGAUCACCUGCAAGUUACUCAUACGAAGAGCAACAUUUUCAAGCAGAAGAGGUGAGAUUUCACAAACAAUAAUAUUAAGCAUAUAAUUCAACAAUUAAAUUUAACAACAUAAACUUUAUUAAUUAAUAAUAAUAAUUCUUCAUAUAGUGCUUCAUUAAUAGUCUAAUCGACUUCUAAUCACCAUUAGCUCAUAACAAAUAUAAACAACAACAUAAUCAUUAUCUUAUAAUCAUAUAAACAACACUACAUAAAUAUUUCAUGGUUAGUCAUCAACAACAACUUCAACAAUUCGACGAUGACAACGUCAACCUGACAAUACAACUACAUGAGAGUACACCACCUCUUAUAAAACAACAACGUAAGAGUACAUCACCUCUUAUAAAACACCAGAACAUAAACAGUCACUAACAACAGCUUCAACUACGACUUCAACAACUUAGAUAAUAUCAACAACUUAAGACUCCAAUACUUUGGAACAUUUUGGAAAGACAACUUACAACUUUACAACUUAGACCAACAUCAACAACUUGAUCAAUAUUCAACAGCAACAGAAACAGUACAAGUCAUUCACAACAUAAUAAUAUUCAUGAAAAGCAUCAACAACAUAAACAUCAUACAUUUUCCACAUAAGGCAUAUAAAUAUUUCACAUAACCAACAUCAACAACAUAGGCAGCACGUAAACAUCUCAAGAUAUAACAACAUCAAAUGAUAAUCAACAUCAACUUAAACAUCUUAUAUAAUUCACAAAUGCAUAUACAAAUUUAUUACAUUACUAUCAUCAUUAAAUCAUAUUGUAACAGCUUCACUGAUCAUCAGUAAUAUUAUAUUCAACCUCAAUUCCUACCCGAAGGAUCAACUCAUAACAUCUCAUGCGACAAAGAUCGCAAAACCCUGAACAAGGUAUUCUGUCUUACAGGAGCUCGCGAGGCGAGGGACAUUACUCGCUAUGGCGAGUUCAGAAAUUUGGCUAUUCGCCUUGGCAAGUAAGCUGCUCGCCUUGGCGAACAAGAAAUGGUUGCUCUCGGGAAUUUGACUUUUUUUCACCUAAAAAUCCAUUUUUAAACUUUCCCAAGUUCAAUCUCAAUCUAAAAACUUGCCUAAUCAUUAUUAUACAUAUUCAGACACUCAAAAUCAUCUAAAUUUCGACUUAAGGAGCUAAAUCACAAAAUCACAAAAUCAUGUUUCCUCACUGGUCAAACUCGCUAUGGCGAGUGAUCUGCUCGCUAUGGCGAGCUGCAAGGUGCAACUCGCGAGGCGAAGAAAAGUUGCUCGCGAGGCGAGCAAUGGAGUUCAUCACUCGCUAUGGUGAGGAUCAUCCCUCGGGAGGCGAGCGAUGAAUGUUCGCUUGGGCAGAAUUGCAAUUUUGACGAAAAUUCACCUAAUCACAUGGUUCAAACCUUAAAACCGGUUCCUUUAAUCAUCCUAUGGAUUAUCUAAGGUCUGUACACAGUUUCUAAAUCAAUCUAACAAUUCUACAUCAAUUAAUCGUCAAUUCCUCACUUUAACCUAAUUCUCCAACUCUCUAAAAUUAAUUCUACACUUGUUAAAUUUAAUCAUCAGAAUUACAGACUCAAUAUAAUUGAAUGCUAGUCUCACCCUUACCUUAAGAAAAUCGAUCAGCAACACUCUCUUGGUUCUUCCCUCUUCUCGUUCUCCCUUUUCUCCAAAACUGGUUGUACGUGAAAAUAAUUCUAAACCUAGUUUUUCCUAUUUAUUUCCUCCCAUCUAUUUUAUCUUAUUUCCACACAACUCUCCUUAAUUCCAAAUCAGCCCCUUGAACUCCAAAUAUUCUAAAUUCCCACUUAUUCAUUAAAUAGUAAAAUAACUCAUUUAAUAAAAUAUAACACACCGCAUAAUCAACAUAAUUAUAUAAAAUCAUAUGUAAAAAGACUUUAAAUCAACCAAUAAUAAUUAAAUAAAAUUGGGGCGUUACAUUAAGCAUGUUCUAGUGAUGUGUUGGGGGCACGAUGCCACGUUGCAAUUUUCCUCUUCUUGUGUGUGCUCUUGGUUGUUGCUGGUUGGUUCAGAGCUUUGGUUUGACUUUGUUUUAGUUCCUUUGGUUUCUCUGUCUUUUUUGUAGUUUUUUCCAUUAGUUUUUCUCUUUUUUGUAUUGUUAUGUUGAUCUUUAAGCACUUCUUCUAUCGCAUAUCCUUAUUACCUUCUCUUAUGUAUAUAUUUGUUAUUCAAGAAGAGGGAAGAAAAAUAUAUUUUCAAAGAUUAGAUAUAUAUUUGAUUUCAAUGUAAACAAAGGGAUGAAAAGUGAAAGUUAUAUUUGAUUUCCUAAACUAUAUAACUUUGAAGUCAACAAAAAAAUUAAGAUGAAAAGUGAAGUGCAAAUGGAUGGUGAGACAAAAGUCACUCAGACUACUUAAACCAAGGGACAGAAAACAAGUAGAGAUCUAAUAAUCAGGAGAAGCAAUAAUUAAAGUAAACAAGCCAACCAACAAAAAACUAAUGACCCCAAAUAAGACAUCUUAUAAUCGAAAUAAAACAAUAAGUUUAACAAGUCCAUUUUAUAUGUUCAUGUGCUUUUUCAAAUUUUUUGUUGGACCCUUCACUUUAUCAUCACAUCUAGUGGCAUAUCCAUGACCCUGGAUCUAUGGGUUCAUACUUUUUCGUCCAACAAAAUUUUAAAUUUUUCUACGUAAAGACAUCACACAUUUUAUUCAUCCAAAAUAUCUCUAUUUACAUAAACAUAUAGUCGAUGUUGCUUCAACUUUUAGAAUUUUAUAUAAUUUUUGUUACUAUAUCUAGAAUAUUAUAUUAAAAUAUAUGAUCAUAUAGUUUUGUAAGGACUAAAACACUACACCAUUUGUUGUCUCUGGCAACACUUUUUUAGAGGACGUGCAAAAAUUGUCCCCUAAAAGUCCCUAAGGCAAUGUUUUAUGAAAAAAGAAAAAAGAGAGCCCACUCAAUUAGAAAUGUUUUUUGAAACUCGAAAAGGAAGUAGAGGAAAGCAAUUGGAUGAAGAAACUGGAAAAGUAUUUGUAUGUAAAAAAUUACAGUUACGUUAAAUUGUGUUUACUUAAUAUUGUUGGCAAACAUUGUUUAUAAUAUUAGUUAAUGUUUUCUUGAAUUUUUUUUUUUGCUCCCAACUUCAAGAAAUGGAUGAAAAGAAAGGAAGUGAUACUGAAGCUUUUAAAGCUGUUAUGGGAAAGGAGCGUCCUGGCAGGUUACGUUGUUAUGGGAGAAAAAUAACUAAAACUUCCUUAAAGCGAAAGGUUGAGAUUAAUGCUUUGAAUCAAGCACAUAGUCAAGAGGUAUCUACUUUAAGGCAUGAAUUUCAAGAUCAGAUUGAUAGAUUGCAAAAUGUGUUUAAGACCGUCAUACAACAAUGCAAUCCUCAAUUAAAUAUGGACUCAAUAGAACAUUUGCUAGGAUUAUCUCAUGGAGAUGCUAACAGCUCCCCAAAGGAUAGUAGAGCACAAAUGCAUUCCUCUACUUCCAUUCAUACUCCAUGUCCUGAAAAGGUAACCAUAUAUAUAAAUAUUAUUGAUUAUGUUAUUGUAAUUGAGUUAAACUAGUUAUAUUUUGCUUGUUAAUAUAUGCAAAAAGUUGUUAGUAAUGAUAUCACUUGGAAUGUAGGCAAGUGUCUGAAAUUGUUAACUUGCGUAUGUUGGGUCUAAAUUAGAGCUGUGCGAACUUAUGAUUAUGUUGUUUGGCUGAAUUGCUUAAAAUGCAUGUCCAAAGUCGGAUUUUGAUUGUGUUGCAGAAUUUUAUGCAUAAAUUUUGUUUAUGCAAUUUGUGGUGUUUGUGCAAACUUGUGAUUUAUUUUUCUGCAUUUUGUGUUUGUUUCUCUGUUGCAUAACAUGGCAUAAGUUGCAGAAACUUAAAAAUGAGCUUGUAAUGAUAGAAUAAGGAAGGGAAAUGUGUAAAAAAGGUUUCCUAUUUGCGGCUAUGUUGACUGUGUUUUACUUGUUGUUUUGGUUUUUAUUUGUGCGAGGUACAACACUUGUUGAUGUCUUUGAUUGGCCUUUGAACCAACAAUAUCUAUGGUUGAUGUAUUUUGUUCUUAUGCAGCAAGCUAUCAAUGAAGAUGUUGUACAGGAUGACAUAGUUGAGGAGGAAGACGUAGAUGAUGAAUUUCUUGAGGACGAAUUUCUUGAGGACAACUUAAGUGAUGAAUUUCAAGAGGAUGAUAUAGAUAAUGAAUUUCAAGAGGAUGACCUAGAUGAUGAAUUUCAAGAGGAUGACCUAGAUGAUAAAAUUCAAGAGAAUGACAUCGGUGAUGAAUUUGAAGUGGACGAUUUGGCUGAUGAAUUACAAGAUAAACUUGAAUGAUUGAGUUGGAUGGUGUUUUAUUUUGGAUUGUAGUUAAGCCACAUUUUGGAUUGUAGUUAAACCACUAAACUUGUCCGAACUAUAGUUUUGUUAUUUUGUUAGGCUUAUACUUCGAAGCAUUAAACUUAUCAAGUAAUGUUUGACAUUUUGAUUACUAUUAUGUCUUGAAUUAAUGUUUGAACUAUGUUAUUAUAUUACAUCUUUUGUGGUUGUAUUGUUAAAUUCGAUCUUGUUUGAGUUAUAAUUGACAAUUCUAAUAUUGUCUUUAAGCUAUAGUUACAUUUCUAAAAUAAUUGAAAAAUUCUAAAAUUUUACAAGGACACUCUAAAAAUGUUGCUUGUAAGUUAUGGGGACGUUUUUAUAAUUUCUUAAAAGAUUCAAAUUUUAGGGGACGAUUAUUAAUUGAAGCAACCUAUGGGAACAUUUAAAAACGUCCCCUCAGAAUCCCCAAAAAAUUGUCUCAUAUUCCUAAGGUUUAGGCGACGUUUUCAAAAACUGUGCCCAAAGAACAUGAAAAAACGUCCCCAUAGACUAUAGGCGACGCUCGUAUAGGAGACGCCGAGAAAACGUCCCCUAUACCUUUAGGGGACGUUUUUCUUAGUUCUGGCAACAUUUUUCGAUUGUUAGGCUUAAUUGCACUUUUGGACCCCUAUCUUUCCAAAAGUUGUGGUUAUGGCCCCCUAACUAAUUUAAAUACAAAACAACCCCCUAUAUUUUGAUUCUUUGGCAGUUUUGGACCCCCAGUCCAUUAGUGAGGUGCCACGUGUAUUAUUUAGGGGGUCACGUGGCACCUCACUAAUGGAUUGGGGGUCCAAAACUGCAAAAAAAAAAUCAAAACAUAGGGGCAUGUUUUGUAUUUAAAUUAGUUAGGGGGCCAUAACCGCAACUUUUGAAAAGAUAGAGGUCUAAAAGUGCAAUUAAGCCUUGUUGUUAAAAAGGAUAAAUGGUGUAGUGAAAGUUAUGUAAUCCAUUAUAAUUUCUAGCAGUUUGAAAUUGAAAGAGUAAUUUUAUCCAUAAUAGAUAGAAAACUAUCAUGGCUAUAAUCUCCAAAUAGAAAGGGAAAAAAAUAAAAGAAGGGGAAAGAGAAAAAUGAAAGAGUUACAAAAAAGCAUAUAUGAAAAAUGUCUCAAAAGAAAGAAAAAAAAAACAAAUAUGAAGCUAUAUAAAAUUUCCGUCAUGUCAUGUUUUCCAAAUGACAACAACAUCGCUAAACAGUAGAACUUAAUAUGCACCAUCAUAAGGUCAUGUCAUGUUUUCGAUCCUUGGUUCUGCUUUUUGGAAUUUUCAUUAGAAAGAAAAACCAAACUUAAAACUAAGUUGUAAGGAUUUUGGGGGUGUAAGUCCAAAAUCUAUAACCUUAAUAUUGGGGUCAAAAUGUAAAAAAAUAAAAAAUAAGAUUAUUGGUGCAAAUUUUCAAAACCCAGGGUGUGCAUGUACUUAUGAAGUCCAGAUACUCCAAAUUGGAGACAUACAUGUGUCGAAUGCGAAUGUAUAUGAUUAAAUUUAAGAUAUGAAUCGCUAUAAUUGUAUUUCGAUUAACCAAAUAAAAAUUAUAUUUUUGGUGGAUAAAAGUACCAAGAGAGAAAGGAUAUUCAAUCAAUCAACAUUAAAUAAACUUUGUUUAUAGUUUUUUUAUUGAUGUAUUUGUUGAUAUCCAAACUUAUGAAUGAAAAUAAAAUAUAAUUUUUACGUAGACUUUACAACUUUUAUUUUGAUCAUGUAUUAUUUUUCGUAAAUCGUGACUUUUAUGAUUAUAUAGUAUUGAAGAGUAAUUAAUUCUUAUUUUUUUAUCAAAUAUUUUGCAUGUAUUUAAUUUUUAGUAUAAAUAUUUUGUUAACGUAUCUUAGUUGUAUCGUAUCCUGAAUUUUAAAAAUAUCAUGCAUCCGCGUACCCGUAUUGUAUCGCACUCGUACAACGUAUUCGGGCUUCAUAGAUAAGUGCAAACCUUCACUCCACAGUGAAUCUGCCAAGUCUGACAAACUCCUUAAAGCUUAGAUGUCCAUCACUAUCAGAAUCAGCCUCACGAACAAAGUCGCUCACUUCUUCAUUGGUCGCCUUAAUGCCUUGAUUUGUCAAGUAAUAAUGCAACUCAGAUGCAGUGACAAAACCAUUAUGAUCCGUGUUAGGCUUAGAGAAAGCUAUGAGAAGCUCUUCUUUGGUGAAGUCAAUGGUACCAUUUCCGUCAGUGGCAGACUUAUUCCUCGCUACCAUCAAGCCGAAAUCAGUUGGGUUUAGGCCAGUAGACCGUAUUAGAGUGUCAAGUUCUUCAUUAUCAAUAGAAACAUCUCCAUCCUUAUCGAUGAGGCUGAAAUACGCCUUUAUCUUUGAGAUUUGCUUGUCAUUGAGUUGAUCGGCCAUUGAAGGAAGAUUGGGUUCUGCAAAAGUACAAAGAGAAGAUGAUAAUGAUUUGUGUGUGUAAUGUGAAAAAUCCAUUUCCUAAAAUAACUACACAAAUAUCUAAAUGGUGCAAUACAAAUGUGUGUAAAGUGAAAAAUCCAUUUGCUCCUUAACACCUCAUGACAUGUAACAGUUAGAGCUCGACAUUCAUGGUUUGUUACUCUGUAACCAAGUAUAUAAAAAGCCCCUUUAGCACAGAACAAAAGUACACACAAUAUAAACUAAAAACUCUCAUUUUUUGCACUUAUACUUACUUGAAUGUCUAAAUAUUUACAUGUACCCCCUAACUUACAUUUCGACGGUCGUUAUUGUCAGACGCCAUCAUUAUGGUCAAAAAAGAUCAUGCAUAAUUUCCUUUUUUGAGUUAUAUGUUUCACUUUAGCUAUAUUAAAUUUGUUGUCCUACUCCUUUCUCUUCUCUGACAUCUCCCACCGGCCACCAACCCUUCUACCCCUCCAUGACAAUCCGAAGACCUUGAGACUUCUUGUUUCUAUCACUUAAAGUGCUGCUAGAAUUAAAAAGAUCCUUAUGUGGGUCGUUGAUUGAUUUAUGAAAUUUCUUUCUAAUCAAUGAGGCAAAAUAGUUUUAGCUAAUCUCCAAUCACCAGAAUUAUGAUUGUUAGUAGGCACAAUAUGUCCCAUGCCCAAAAUUUACAUAUAAGUUUCUACGAUACAUUCACAAAUUAAAUCAUUUAGGUAUAUUUGUUUUUUAGGAAACAAAAAAGAAGCAUAAUAGUGUGAUAAUUAUAUGCACGUGAAAAACAAUUUUUUUUUUUUUUUUUUUAUAAAAUGCACGUGAAAAACUUGUUUAACUUGUUCAAAGAUUAAUAUUAAAUUCUUUACAUAUAUGAAUUGGACAUAUAAAAAAACUUAUAGGCUAGAAUGACUCACCGACAGUAAGCGUCGGUGGAACAUGAAUAUCAGCUAAAACUUGUGAAGAGAGAAAAACAAAAAGAUUAAUACUAAGAAACAAAUAUGAUUUUGAGUAAGCCAUGUCACGUCUUGGUGAUGAUAUUGCAAUGGUUGAUAAUAAAUAAUAAUGUAGUAAUUCGUUUGUGUGUGUAUAUAUGGAAAGAAGUUGCUCUGUUUAUAGGGCCAAGAGUCAUGUUGAAGUUUAAAUUUAAAUUAAUGCAAAACUUGUGGCUAAAAAACCUUAUGAAAGGAUAUGAAUAUUAAUUUAGAAAUAACAGUUUUUUUUUUUUUUAUCAAAACACUAAAAUAUAAAAGACAGGAGAUGUCUGAACUAAUACAACAGAAUGACAAAGGAGAACCUAUGAAACGAAAACUAGAAAGCUUAUGACCAUUAUUGACCAUACCAACUGCUACAAGACUACUAUCCCAAAGUUUGUUUAAAAUGAUUGAUAUUUCUAGUUAUUUUAUUGCAACAACAAAAAACACAUUAUUCUAAGGCUGCCAAGUCAAUUUUGGAGGUGCCCUUUUGAGCACGGGUCCUUAUUUCAGCUGAGUUAAAUCAAGCAGACUUCACUUUUCUCACAGGCUUCUUCUAAUUUUUCUCUGCCUUAAUGCUCUCAUAUAGGCUUGGAUAGUGCUGCUCAAAGUAUGAUACAAUGGGUUCAACAUGGUCCUCUUCCACUGUGACGGCAUAGCCGUAGGAGUGAGCACCAUAGUGUUAGCCCACUUUUGAAAAACCUUUGGAUCCACAUUCUUGUUAGAAGACAUCAAUGCAUCUGAGAUGUGAUCAUAAUCCUCUUCUACCUCAUCCCCCAAAAUUUGGAAAGAAUCUGCACACUCUUUAGGGUUGUAGUGUAACGCCCUAUUUUAUUAUUUAUUUAUUUUAUUAAGUUUAGAGUCUUUUUUUAUAAUUUAAUCAAUUUAUUUUGAUAAGUGAUAUUUUUGUUGUGUAUGAUAUUUAUUAGUAGCCCCUAUUUUAUUAUUUAGUGGAGAAAUAUAAUUUAAAUAGAUUAAUGAGGCAUAAGGACAUAAUUGGAAUAAGGGAGAAUGUGUUAGGAGAGAUUAAGUGAGAAACAAACACAGUUAGUGAUUAUAAAUAUAUGAGACCAUUAGAGAAUUAGGGUUACAACAGAAUAGAGAGUCAGAAUACAGAAUACGUAGAAACUGCUUUUGGGAGAAAAAGGGAGAAAGUGAGAAGUUAGAUAAGAGAAGAGGAGAAAACUUGUAAAGUCCAAAUUCAAUCUAAGGUAAGGGUGGGACUAACCUUCUUUAAUCAUAAGUAUAUAGUUCUGAAAAAGGGUUUAAGCUUGUAGUUGUUAAUAGUUUUGAUGUUAUAGAAAUUAGGUUUUGAUUUGGAAUUGAUUGUUAAAAAAGUAGAUAAUUCAAUAAAUUAGUGUACAAAUUCAUGUUUUGGUCCAAGUUUUAUAUGGUUUUGAGUGCCUUUUCAUGUUUAGAAAUGUUUAGACGAGUUUCGGGAUCAAAUUUGGGCAUAGGGAAGUUAAAAAUGGGAUUUUUUGGUGAAAAAUGUCAAGUUCCCGAGAGAUAUCAGAUUGAGCUCGCCAUGGCGGAUGACCUAUUCGCCUGGCGAAAUGUUCAGUGACAGACUGCCUUGUUUCACGUUCUUGCGUCUGUUUCACACGUUUCUGUUUUGAGUUGGUCUUCGGUGUAAACAUGAAAGUUGUUGAUAAUUGUGUUAUCUUUCCAGUAUUCUUGAUUUGAUGUGAAUAUCUUUGUUGGAUGAUUUAAUAUUUAUUAUAUGUAUAUGUUGAUGAAUUUGAUGUUAUAUGAUGUUGUUCAUGAUUGAUGAAUUAUUAUAUGAAUGUAUAAGUUGAUGAAUAUGAUGUCAUUCAAGAUUGAUGAACUAUUAUAUGAAUGUAUAUGUUGAUGAAUAUGAUUUUAUAUGAUGUUGUUCAUGAUUGGUGAAUUAUUAUAUGAAUGUAUAUGUUGAUGAAUAUGAUGUUAUAUGAUGUUGUUCAUGAUUGCUAAAUUAUGAAGUCAUAAUGCGAAGUCGUUGUUGUUGUUGUUGUUGUUGCAUUGGUAGUGUCAAUGCAUAAUCAUUUUAAACGAAGAGGGCUUGAUGCUCUGUUAAUUUUAAGCGAAGAGGGCUUGAUGCUCUGUUAUUUAAUCGAAGGGAACUUGAUGCUCUGUUGUAGGGAGCUUGAUGCUCUGAUGGUACGACAUGCAUAUUAGCAUCUCUUGAGUUGUUAUUGUUGCAUUGUUGAGUUGUUGUUGUUGCAUUGCGGAGUUGUUGUUGUUGUUGUCACAUUGUUGUUGUUGUUAUUAUUGCAUUGUUAAAAUGAAGAUAAUUGAUGAAUUGUUGAUUGGAAUUAUGUGAAGCAUUGUUGAUGAUGAUUUGCUGUUGUUUUGUGUUGAUAAAUUCUUUUACAUUAUUGUUUAUUAGUGUUGUUAAUGAUGAAUUGAGGUUGUUAUGUGUUGUUAAAUUCUUUUAUAGAAUUAUAUGCUUAUUAUUAUUGAAUUUGAAAUUUCACUCAUUCUGUUUGAAUGUUGCCUCUACGUGGGUAAUGUGCAGAUAACCAGGAGUAAUCGCUGAUGUGAGUUGAUUCUCGUGUCGUCCUAGGAGUCGCUCUGAUACGUACGGGAUGGGGAUUAGCUUUAUUUAUUUUCCAUUAUUAUGUAUUCUUUUUAUGAAUUUAUUGUUGAACAUUUUUUAGAUGAAAUUAAUUAUAUUGAUGAUGUUGAUGUUAGUUUGUUUUUAAUUCAAGUUUAGUUUUAGUGAUAAUCACAAUCAGUGGUUAAUCACAGUUUGUUUUAGUUUGUUAUGAAGUUUGUUACAAGUUUGUUAGAGGUUAGCAGAUAAGAUCUAGAGUUUGUUACAUUGCUUGUGCUUCAAGCAACUUAGCUAGAUAUUGUAUAUAAGCUACCUCCUUUGUACAUUUUUGUAUAUAGAAUCAAUAAAGAUCAUUUACAAUUUCAUCAUAACUUUCUUCUCUCUCAAUUCUCUCUCUAAUUCACAUAAAACCUUAGAAUCAGAAACUGCUUCUGAACUGCUUCUGAACAGUGCUUCUGAACAGAGCUUCUGAACAAGCUUCCGCUUCUGGUUUUUCUGCGCUAUCAAAUUGGCAUCAAGAGCCUUUGGUUUCGUUCUAAGGGGUAAUCAAGAUCUUCAAUCACGCAAUUUAUAGAAAGAAACGCUGAAGGAAACACCAUGAAUGGUAGCAGCAGUUUCAACACACAUCUUCCAAUUCUUGAAGCACGUAAUUGGGAAAGAUGGAGUGCAGCGAUGAAGAAUCUGUUUGGAGCACAAGAUUUGCUUGAAAUUGUGCAGAAUGGUGUAGAUGAAUUAGCUGCGAAUGCCACUGAAGUGCAAAGGAACGCACACAAGGAAUUGAAGAAGAAAGAUUGCAAGGCUCUGUUCUUGAUUCAACAAAGUCUUGAUGAAGGAAACUUUGAAAGAAUCUCAAAAUCACUGAGUUCAAAGGAAGCAUGGGACAUUCUUUCAAAGUAUCAUGAAGGUGAUGAUAAAGUGAAGUUGAUUAAGCUUCAAUCUCUGAGAAGGAAAUUUGAGCUGAUGCAAAUGGAAGAUGAUCAGAAGAUUUCUAAGUACAUCUCUAAACUCAUCAAUCUUGUGAAUCAGAUGAAGGCUUGUAGUGAAGCUAUCACUGAUCAACAGAUAGUUGAAAAGAUUAUGAGGAUCCUAUCUUCAAGGUUUGAUUUCAUUGUGGUGGCAAUUCAGGAAUCAAAAGAUGUUAAGACAUUGAAGAUUGAGGAGCUACAGAGUUCAUUAGAAGCUCAUGAAUUGAUGGUUUCAGAAAGAAGCAAUGAAAGAUCAAUUCAACAAGCCCUGCAAGUUCAAACUAUCAAGAAGGAUGAUUAUGAUAAGAAGAACUUCAAGAAAGGGAAACUCUAAGGGAGGAAACUGGUCUAAAGGCAAGAACAAUGGAUCUGAUAAAGGUGAAUCUUCAAAGGAAGGAAAUUCUAAUCAAAAGAAGAAAGUUGAUAAGAAGAAGAUUCAGUGUUUCAAAUGUGAGAAAUUUGGACACUAUGCCUCUGAAUGUUGGUCUGGUAAAGGAAAGCAAUCAAAAAAUGAUGAAGAGGAAGCCAAAAUUGCACAAGAUGAUUUAGAUUCUGAAUCAUUAUUCAUGAUGGUUACAACAACUAGUAAUGAGAGCUGCAAUUCAGAAAGUUGGUUCUUAGAUACUGGUUGUUCUAAUCACAUGACAGGAAACAAGACAUGGUUAAGAGAAGUGGAUCCUGGAAGAAAUACAAAGGUGAAACUUGCAGAUCAUAGAGUCUUAAUUGCAGAAGGAAUGGGGAAUAUUGCUAUUGAAGGAAAGAAUGGGAAAGUGGCAAUAAUUGAAGAAGUUCUCUAUGUUCCUGGAAUGCAGUGCAAUUUGCUGAGUGUAGGUCAGUUCAUUCAGAAAGGAUACUCAGUUACUAUGAAGGACAACACCUUUAAGUUGUUUGAUAAUCAUCAAAGGUUAGUUUUGAAAACUCCUCUUGCAAAGAAUAGAACUUUUCAGACCAAUAUGAAAGCUGUAGAAUUGAACUGUUUAUCUGCUAUGGUAAAAGAUGAAGAUAGCUGGUUAUGGCACUAUAGAUUUGGUCAUCUCAAUUUUAGAGGUCUUAAUCAAUUGGUUGAUAAAGAAAUGAUUCUGGGAGUGCCUAAAACCAGGAAUUUGAAAACCCACUUCACAUCUACACCAUACUCAGAAUCUGUAUGGAUUGAAACAGGCACCAAGAGCUUGGAACAAGAGAAUUGACAGAUUUCUUGUACAGCAAGAAUUUGUCAAAUGCAAGUCUGAGUAUGGUGUAUAUGUGAAGAAAGGAAGUGAAGGUAAUCAACUACUCAUCUGCCUUUAUGUUGAUGAUCUGAUAGUGACUGGUAGUGAUAUGAAUGAGAUAGAAGCAUUCAAAUCACAAAUGAUGAGUGAGUUUGAAAUGUCAGAUUUAGGAAAAUUGACAUACUUUCUAGGCAUGGAAUUUACUGAAGUUGCAGAGGGAUUGAUAAUGCACCAAAAGAAGUAUGCAUCUGAUAUAUUGAAGAGGUUCAAUAUGAUGAGCUGCAAUCCAUCAUCAUCACCAGCUGAGACAAAUGUAAAACUGGUAAUGAAUGAAGAUGAAGAACCUGUGAAUCCUACAUUGUUCAAGCAAAUUGUUGGUUCACUGAGGUAUCUAUGCAAUAGUAGGCCUGAUAUUGCAUAUGCAGUUGGCAUAAUCAGUAGAUUCAUGAGUGAACCAAGAGUCUCUCACCUGCUAGCAGCCAAAAGAGUGAUGAGAUACAUCAAAGGAACACUGCAGUAUGGUAUUCUAUUUCCUAAAUGUUUGAAUGAUAGUUCUAUGGAACUGAUGGCAUAUUCUGAUGCUGAUUGGUGUGGAGACAGACAAGAUAGAAAGAGUACUUCAGGGUACCUAUUCAAGUUUAUGAAUGCUCCAAUUUCAUGGUGUGCUAAGAAGCAACCAGUUGUAGCAUUGUCAACCUGUGAAUCUGAAUAUAUUGCAGGGUGUAUGGCAGCAUGUUAGGCAAUAUGGCUUGAAAAUAUACUCAAAGAGAUGGAGAUAGAGGUUAGCAGACCUAUAGAAUUGCUCAUAGACAACAAAUCUGCUAUAAGCUUAGCAAGAAAUCCAGUUCUGCAUGGAAGAAGCAAGCAUAUAGAAGCAAAGUUUCAUUUUCUAAGGGAGCAAGUGAACAAGGGAGCACUGCAGAUUGUUCAUUGCUCUACUGAGCUGCAGCUUGCAGACAUAUUCACUAAGGCAUUGAAGGUUGACAGAUUCAACAAGCUCAGAAGCUUUAUUGGAAUGAAGGAAGUGGAAACUUGAAUUAAGGGAGGAUGUUAGUUUGUUUUUAAUUCAAGUUUAGUUUUAGUGAUAAUCACAAUCAGUGGUUAAUCACAGUUUGUUUUAGUUUGUUAUGAAGUUUGUUACAAGUUUGUUAGAGGUUAGCAGAUAAGAUCUAGAGUUUGUUACAUUGCUUGUGCUUCAAGCAACUUAGCUAGAUAUUGUAUAUAAGCUACCUCCUUUGUACAUUUUUGUAUAUAGAAUCAAUAAAGAUCAUUUACAAUUUCAUCAUAACUUUCUUCUCUCUCAAUUCUCUCUCUAAUUCACAUAAAACCUUAGAAUCAGAAACUGCUUCUGAACUGCUUCUGAACAGUGCUUCUGAACAGAGCUUCUGAACAAGCUUCCGCUUCUGGUUUUUCUGCGCUAUCAGUUGAGGCCUUUAGUGCCAAUUUUGUUGAAAGAAUAAGUAUUUUCCGUUGCGACGUUGUUGAAAAUUAUUGGAAGCAGAUGAUUUUAAUAAAGAGUGGAUUUUAACUCUAUUUGUGUUAAAUAUUAUUUUGAAGAAAGAAAUGUGAUAUUCUGUUUGUGAUGAACUCUGAUCUAUUUUAUAUUAUUUAUAUGUUGGGAAAAUGGGGUGUUACAUGUAGCAGAGAGGGGUUUGGAAGCAUGAAUCAGGGUUUGGCUUGAACGGAGUUUGUCACUUGUCAAACUAGCAAACAUGGUGGUUUGCAGGUUGUGUCAUAGGAGUGAUAUAAGGGUCCCUAGAUUUGUCUCAUGAAACAUAAGUGAUCUUGGGGAAUGACCGCCUCCCAGGUAUGCCACCCUAACCAAGUGAAGUUGAAGCUGAAUUGGGGAAUGACAUCAUCCCAAUGUCAGAAGACUUCGUAAGAUCUGAGGUAUCAUGAGACACAAGUUUGAUGGGGAUUAUUUCCUUAGAAACAAUGUCCUUUAACCUAGUGUUAUGAAUCAAAGAAACUUCUUCACCAUAAUGAGCAUUGAGUGGCUCAAUAUCAGCUAAAAGCUUGUUAAAAGAGCCAUCAAUAUCUUUCAUAUCAACCAAAGCCUCUCCUUGCACCCUGUCAGGUUCAGAAUUCAAAAUGGUGAAAUAAUUGUGCAGGACAAGAUCUUGGUCUUCCAAGCAAUCCUGUCCUCUAAACUAAAGUUCGCAUGGUCAUAUCGAUUGUUGUCCAUAACAUUAAAAGAAACAUCACUAGCUAGGAAAAGAGGUAUGGUUUGAACUAUCAGCUGCAACAAUGAUGGAAAAAGGUGCAUGCGGAACAGUUUCAGCUGGAUCUUCACAGGUAUUUAUUUGUAAUGUAGUCUCUAAAUUUGCUAUCUAAGAUCUAUUUGGUGCAUCUGAGCAUGAAACCUACAGAUUAUCCCCCAAUACUUUCUUAUUUAAGCUUACCAAAGGUUGAGUCUGAGAGUUCCUGGGAAGCAAAAUAUUACCUGACCAGGUAUUAGGUUAUGUUUUGUUAGUAGCCUGCGAGUGAGUGUGUUUAUUUAGCAGAUGAGCUUCAGGAACGUUAUUAACAAUCUACUUAUGAUGAACCUGCUUGGCGGCGUGAGGCUUCUUCCAUCCCAAGUCUAAGCCUUCAGGCACAUGAGCUGCUCCAAUCUUCUUACAUUGUUGAAUAGUGUGGCCAAUGAACUUGCAAUGUGAGCAAAAAGGAGGUUUCCUUUCAUACUGCACAGACACAUAAAACGCAUAACCCUCCCUUUCCACUAUAACCGAGUCAAAAAGUUGUCUUGACAUGUCAACAUCCACAAGCACCCUAGUGUAGAGACCAAAUAACCUAGCUCUAUUGGCAUCAUUAAUGAUCAGAGGGGUGCCAAUACCAGAAGCAAUCUCAAAUAAAGUCUUCUCCCUCCAAUAUAUAUAUAUUUGUUAUUCAAAAGAGGGAAGAAAGUUAUCUUUUCAAAGACUAAAUAUAUAUUUGAUUUCGAUGUAAACAAAGGGAUGAAAAAUAAAAGUUAUAUUUGAUUUUCUAAACUAUAUAACUUUUAAGUAAACAAAAAAAUAAAAUGGAAAGUGAAGUACAAAUGGAUGGUUAGACAAAAGUCACUCAGACUACUUAAACAAAGGGACAAAGCAAACAAGUAUAGAACUAAUGAUUAGUAGUAGCAAUAAUUAAAGCAAACAAGCCAACCAACAAAAAACUAAUGACCCCAAAUAAAGGUGACAUUUAACAUGGGAAAGGGUAAAACUUUUCGACCAUAGGACAGUUGAUUUUAACCAUGUGAUUAAAUAAUGAGCACAAUCUUAUCAUGCUCUCUCAAUAGUUAAAUUUUUCCUCACUAUCUUCUCCAACCAUUCUCUCUCCUCAAUGUCUCUCUCACAAACCCUUUAGCCAUUAAAUAGCCAAAAAUCCUAAUCCAGAUGACAAUGGAAGAUGCAUUCUGCUUUCAAAAAACAAAUCUAAAACUAAAACAGAACUGAACGAAAAUUAAACAUUCAAUCCUAGAUUAAUUUUCUUUUGAAAACCAUUAAAUUUUAGAUUAAGUCAUAUAAAUAAUAACUUGGUUUUGAUUCUUUUUACUUUCUUUUCUAUUAAUUCAUUCAUCCACUAAAACACAGAGACAUUGUCUCAGAUUAGCAAGAAUCUUGAAUGGAUUGUGUGUACGUUGGCAGGGACAGUAGCAUUUAUCACAUGAAAUUGUCUUUACGAUUUGUUUGAAUUUACGAGUGAAGAAGUUUUAAAAUUGGUUUUGAUACCCUUUGAUUCCUUCAGUGAGAUUAAUAGAGAUUUUCUUGAAGUUUUUCUCUUUAAUUCCAACCAGAAGUUGUGACCGGAAACUCAUCCACGGUGGCGUGCAGUGGCUCGCCGGUGUAGGAAGAAAGGCAUACAUCAAAUUGGGACGGGGUUUAAGUUUUAACUCAAAUUGAAGGUUGAAAAACAUACUUCUAGAAGAAAAAACAUACUUCGUCCUAAACAUGUUUAAGUUUUAAUUCUUCUGGAAAAAAAACGAUAUUGGGAUGGCAGGUUUGAUGUUGGUGGUGGUCAGUGGCGGAGCCAGGAAUAUUGUAAAGCCCAGACAAAAAAAAAAAUUGCAACACAUUUAUAGGGCGUACAUAAGAAAUUGCAAGCAAAUAAUAAAAAAUGUAAAGAAAUUGCCCAAUUUAUAGGGUUUUAUAUAAGAAAUUCAUAGGGAUUUACACAAGAAAUUGCAAAAAAUUUGGCCCGGAGCCCGGCCGAGUGCCCGGGGUCGCCGGGCCUUAGAACCGCCCCUGGUGGUGGUGGGUUAGUGAGGCAUGAAGAAGAAAGAAUAGCGUUGGAAGAUGGUGUAGAAGAAUAAUAUGGUGCUGAGAGACUAUGAUAAAUGUGUGUACUUUAUUUGAUCAAAUGGUUAAUAUUAAUUUUUCUAUGGUGGGAAAGUUUUACCCUUUUCCAUGUUAAAUGCCACCCCAAAUAAAACAUCUAAUAAUAGAAAUAGAACAAUAAUUCUCAUCAAAACUCGUUUAACAUGUCCAUUUUAUAUGUUCAUGUGCUUUUUCAAAUUUUUUGCUGGUCCCUUCACUUUAUCGUCACAUCCAGUGGUGUAUCCAUGACCCUAGUUCAAAGGGUGCAUACUUUUUCGUCCAACAAAUUUAAUACCCAUUUUGGAGUAUCCAUUUAUGAAUUAUACCCAAGUGCCUAUGAAAGUCCAGAUACUCCAAAAUGGAGAUGUACCUGGAUUGGAUGUGGAUGUAUAUGAUUCAAUCAAUCAACAUUAAAUAAAAUUUGUUUAGAGUUCUUUUAUUGAUGCAUUUGUUGAUAUCCUAACAUAUGAAUGAAAAUAGAAUAUGAUUUAUAGAUCACUUCACAAUUUUUAUUUUGAUCAUAUGUAUUAUUUUCUGUAAAUCGUGACUUUUAUGAUUAUAUAGUAUUGAAGAGUAAUUAAUGCUUUUUUUUCAAAUAUUUUACAUGCAUAUAAAUUUUACUAUAAAUAUUUUGUUAUCGUAUCUUAGCCAUAUCAUAUCCUAAAUUUUAAAAUUUUCGUGUAUCCGCGUACCCGUAUCGUAUCGUACCCGUACUCGUACUAUGUUUAUUUGCACACCUUCAGACCACAAUGGAUCCACCCAUGGUCACAGCUUUGACAAACUCCUCAAAGUUUAUUUGUCCAUCACCAUCAACAUCAGCCUCACGAACAUACUCGUCCACUUCUUCCUUGGUCACCUUGGUGCCGUGAUUUGUCAAGUAAUAAUGCAACUCAGAUGCAGAGACAAAACCAUUAUGAUCCUUGUCAGGCUUAGGGAAAGAUAUGAUAAAAUCUUCUUCGGUGAAAUCAAUGGUACCAUUUCCGUCAGCGUCAAACUUAUUCAUUGCUACCAUCAGGCCGAAAAACGUUGGGUUUAGGCCAAGCGACCGUAUUAGAGUCUGAAGUUCAUCAUUAUCAAUAGAAAAAUCUUGAUCCUUAUCGAGAAGUCUGAAAUACGCCUUUAUCUUUGAGAUUUGCUUGUCAUUGAGUUGAUCGGUCAUUGAAGGAAGAUUGGGUUCUGCAAAAGUACAAAGAGAAGAUGAGAAUGAUUUGUAUGUGUAAUGUGAAAAAUCCAUUUCCUAAAAUAACUACCCAAAUAUCUAAAUGGUGCAAUACAAAUGUGUGUAAAAAUCCGUUUACUCUAUAACACCUCAUGACACGUAAUAGAGCUCGACAUUGAUGGUUCGUUAAUCUGUAACCAAGCUUAUAAAAGGACCCCUUCAGCACAAAAAUAAAGUACACACAAUGUAUACUAAAAACUAUCAUUUUUUGCACUCAUACUGAUUUGAAUGUAUAAAUAUUUUCAUGUAACCUUAACUUAGACUUCGACGGUUGUUAAUGUCGUCUCCUUUCUCUUCUCUUCCAUCUCCCACCGGCCACCAACCCUUUUAUUCCUCCAUGAUAAUCCCAAGAUCUGGAGACUUCUUGUUUUAUCGCAUAAAGUACUAGUAGAAUUAAAAAGAUCCUUAUUUGGGUCGUUGAUUGAUUUAUGAGAUUUCUUUCUAAUCAAUGAGGCAAAAUAGCUUUAGCUAAUCUCCAAUCACCAUAAUUAUGAUUGUUAGUAGGCUCAAUAUGAUCCAUGCUGAAAAUUUACUCAGAAGUUUCUACGAUACAUUCACAAAUUGAAUCAUUUUGGUAUAUUUGUUUAGGAAAUAAAGAAGAAGCAUAAUAGAAUGAUAAUUAUAUGCACAUGUAAAACUUGUUUAACUUGACCAUAGAUUAAUAUUAAAUUCUUUACAUAUAUGCAUUUGGUAUACAAAAAAAAAUUAUAGGCUAGAAUGACUCACCAAC